GCGAUGUUUCAUUCAAAUUUCUGCCCUAUCAACUUUCGACGGUAGGGUAGUGGCCUACCGUGGUGGUAACGGGUGACGGAGGAUUAGGGUUCGAUUCCGGAGAGGGAGCCUGAGAAACGGCUACCACAUCCAAGGAAGGCAGCAGGCGCGCAAAUUACCCAAAUCCCAACUCGGGGAGGUAGUGACAAGAAAUAACGAUGCUCCGGCCAUCGGUCGGGUAAUCGGAAUGAGAACAAUUUAAAUCCCUUAUCGAGGAUCAAUUGGAGGGCAAGUCUGGUGCCAGCAGCCGCGGUAAUUCCAGCUCCAAUAGCGUAUAUUUAAGUUGCUGCGGUUAAAAAGCUCGUAGUCGGAUUUCGGGUGGUGCCUACCGGUCCGCCUUUGGUGUGUACUGGUAGGCGCCACCUUUCUGCCGAGGACGGGUUCCUGGGCUUAACUGUCUGGGGCCCGGAGUCGGCGAUGUCACUUUGAGUAAAUUAGGGUGUUUAAAGCAGGCUUAUGCUCUGUAUACACUAGCAUGGGAUGACACGAUAGGACUUCGGUCUAUCUUGUCGGUCUGUAGAUCGGAGUAAUGAUUAAGAGGGACAGUCGGGGGCAUUCGUAUUUCGUAGUCAGAGGUGAAAUUCUUGGAUUUACGGAAGACGAACUUCUGCGAAAGCAUUUGCCAAGGAUGUUUUCAUUGAUCAAGAACGAAAGUCGGGGGCUCGAAGACGAUUAGAUACCGUCGUAGUCUCGACCAUAAACGAUGCCGACA
rnacentral:rRNA from 1 species